UACGGAGGGUGCUAGCGUUGUUCGGAAUCACUGGGCGUAAAGCGCGUGUAGGCGGCCCACUAAGUCUGAUGUGAAAGCCCGGGGCUCACCCCCGGAAGUGCAUUGGAAACUGGUGGACUCGAGUCCCGGAGAGGAGGGUGGAAUUCCUGGUGUAGCGGUGAAAUGCGUAGAGAUGUGGAGGAACACCGAUGGCGAAGGCAGCCCCCUGGGCUGAGAUUGACGCUCAGGCACGAAAGCGUGGGGAGCAAACAGG
rnacentral:rRNA from 1 species